CAGCCGCCGCGGGAAUACGGAGGGGGCUAGCGUUGUUCGGAAUUACUGGGUUUAAAGGGUGCGUAGGCGGAUCUGUAAGUCAGUGGUGAAAUCUCCAGGCUUAACCUGGAAACUGCCGUUGAUACUAUAGGUCUUGAAUUUUGUGGAGGUUAGCGGAAUAUGUCAUGUAGCGGUGAAAUGCAUAGAUAUGACAUAGAACACCAAUUGCGAAGGCAGCUGGCUACACAACUAUUGACGCUGAGGCACGAAAGCGUGGGGAUCAAACAGGAUUAGAUACCCGCGUAGUCCCUGUCUCUUAUAC
rnacentral:rRNA from 1 species